AUGCAAGUCGAGCGAAUGAGGGUAGCUUGCUACCUGAUUUAGCGGCGGACGGGUGAGUAAUGUAUAGGGAGCUGCCCGAUAGAGGGGGAUACCAGUUGGAAACGACUGUUAAUACCGCAUAAUGUCUACGGACCAAAGUGUGGGACCUUCGGGCCACAUGCUAUCGGAUGCACCUAUAUGGGAUUAGCUAGUUGGUGGGGUAACGGCUCACCAAGGCGACGAUCCCUAGCUGGUUUGAGGGGAUGAUCAGCCACACUGGAACUGAGACACGGUCCAGACUCCUACGGGAGGCAGCAGUGGGGAAUAUUGGACAAUGGGCGCAAGCCUGAUCCAGCCAUGCCGCGUGUGUGAAGAAGGCCUUCGGGUUGUAAAGCACUUUCAGCGAGGAGGAAGGGUGUUGUGUUAAUAGCACAGCAUUUUGACGUUACUCGCAGAAGAAGCACCGGCUAACUCCGUGCCAGCAGCCGCGGUAAUACGGAGGGUGCAAGCGCUAAUCGGAAUUACUGGGCGUAAAGCGCACGUAGGCGGUGUGUUAAGUUGGAUGUGAAAGCCCCGGGCUCAACCUGGGAAUUGCAUUCAAAACUGGCACGCUAGAGUAUGUGAGAGGGGGGUAGAAUUCCAAGUGUAGCGGUGAAAUGCGUAGAGAUUUGGAGGAAUACCAGUGGCGAAGGCGGCCCCCUGGCACAAUACUGACGCUGAGGUGCGAAAGCGUGGGGAGUAAACAGGAUUAGAUACCCUGGUAGUCCACGCCGUAAACGAUGUCUACUAGCUGUUCGCGGCCUUGU
rnacentral:rRNA from 1 species